UCCAAUUUCAUGUGUAGACUGAGUUCUGG
rnacentral:piRNA from 1 species